GUCUUUCUUCCGUAGGUGGAACCUGCGGAAGGAUCAUUA
rnacentral:rRNA from 1 species